rnacentral:rRNA from 1 species
UACGUAGGGUGCGAGCGUUAAUCGGAAUUACUGGGCGUAAAGCGUGCGCAGGCGGUUUUGUAAGCCAGAUGUGGAAUCCCCGGGCUCAACCUGGGAACUGCAUUUGUGACUGCAUAGCUAGAGUACGGUAGAGGGGGAUGGAAUUCCGCGUGUAGCAGUGAAAUGCGUAGAUAUGCGGAGGAACACCGAUGGCGAAGGCAAUCCCCUGGACCUGUACUGACGCUCAUGCACGAAAGCGUGGGGAGCAAACAGGG